CAGGUGUGCCAUGUGAGCCUUCAUUCAAUGUCAAGGAUUGCAUAUGAUGGAGACAUGGCUUAUUUUUCUAAGACCUCUGAGAAUAUGUCAUAGUGGGACUUUGCAUUAGACGAGGACACUACUCUGUCUUGGAUUGUGGAAGAAAGGAGGGCAAAUACACCUUUCUCAAUUCUCUUGGAGAGACUGACCAAGAAAAGGAUAUAAUCACAAGAAACUGGAGCAACUUCUCUAGAAGAAAAGAAACCAGGUGCCAGUUUGUCAUCAUUGACCAUGAUAAAUGUAGCGGUGCAAUUUAUCGUCCAACACGAUAACAACGUGCUUCCAAAAUACCCUUUAUUCUCCGAAAUCCAGUAUUAGGUACACAUAAUGUCUGCUACCCCGCCAUGUUCCUUUCUCGCCGACACUACCCCAGUUUAUGCACACUGGCACUAUAUUUACCCCGUUACAAUAAACAACUAGGUGACUGCACUUGUGGAUUAUGGUGUAUACACGUGAGUUGUUACA